UUUAACUGAAGAGUUUGAUCAUGGCUCAGAUUGAACGCUGGCGGCAGGCUUAACACAUGCAAGUCGAGCGGGGGAAGGUAGCUUGCUACUGGACCUAGCGGCGGACGGGUGAGUAAUGCUUAGGAAUCUGCCUAUUAGUGGGGGACAACAUCUCGAAAG
rnacentral:rRNA from 1 species